GUGAGCGUAGCUCAGUUGGUAGAGCUCCGGAUUGUGGCUCCGGCGGUCGUGGGUUCGAGCCCCAUCGUUCACC
rnacentral:tRNA from 1 species